GCGCCUGUAGUUUAGUUGGAUAGAAUAUCAGGCUACGAACUUGAAGAUCGGGGGUUCGAAUCCCUCCAGGCGCACCA
rnacentral:tRNA from 1 species